CUACGGGGCGCUCCAGUGGGGAAUAUUGCACAAUGGAGGAAACUCUGAUGCAGCAACGCCGCGUGGAGGAUGACACUUUUCGGAGCGUAAACUCCUUUUAUAUAGGAAGAAGAUGACGGUACUAUAUGAAUAAGCGCCGGCUAACUCCGUGCCAGCAGCCGCGGUAAUACGGAGGGCGCAAGCGUUACUCGGAAUCACUGGGCGUAAAGAGCGUGUAGGCGGAUUAAAAAGUCAGAAGUGAAAUCCUAUAGCUUAACUAUAGAACUGCUUCUGAAACUCUUAAUCUAGAAUAUGGGAGAGGUAGAUGGGAUUUCUGGUGUAGGGGUAAAAUCCGUAGAGAUCAGAAGGAAUACCGAAUGCGAAGGCGAUCUACUAGAACAUUACUGACGCUAAGGCGUGAAAGCGUGGGGAGCAAACAGGAUUAGAUACCCCGGUAGUC
rnacentral:rRNA from 1 species